rnacentral:rRNA from 1 species
GAUGAACGCUGGCGGCGUGCCUAAUACAUGCAAGUCGAGCGAACGGACGAGAAGCUUGCUUCUCUGAUGUUAGCGGCGGACGGGUGAGUAACACGUGGAUAACCUACCUAUAGGACUGGGAUAACUUCGGGAAACCGGAGCUAAUACCGGAUAAUAUUUUGAACGGCAUGGUUCAAAAGUGAAAGACGGUCUUGCUGUCACUUAUAGAUGGAUCCGCGCUGCAUUAGCAAGUUGGUAAGGUAACGGCUUACCAAGGCAACGAUGCAUAGCCGACCUGAGAGGGUGAUCGGCCACACUGGAACUGAGACACGGUCCAGACUCCUACGGGAGGCAGCAGUAGGGAAUCUUCCGCAAUGGGCGAAAGCCUGAUGGAGCAACGCCGCGUGAGUGAUGAAGGUCUUCGGAUCGUAAAACUCUGUUAGUAGGGAAGAACAUAAGUGUAAGUAACUGUGCACAUCUUGACGUUACCUAAACAGAAAGCCACGGCUAACUUCGUG